rnacentral:rRNA from 1 species
UACGAGUGCCCUAAGCGUUAUCCGGAAUCAUUGGGCGUAAAGGGUGUGUAGGUGGUUAUGUUAGUCUUGUGUUAAAUUCUUCGGCUCAACCGGGGGUCUGCGCGGGAAACGGCAUAACUAGAGGAUAGGAGAGGUGUGUGGAACUCAUAGUGUAGGGGGUGAAAUCCGUUGAUAUUAUGGGGGAACACCAAAUGCGAAGGCAGCACACUGGCCUACUCCUGACACUGAAACACGAAAGACGU